UACGGGGGGGGCAAGCGUUGUUCGGAAUUACUGGGCGUAAAGAGCUUGUAGGCGGUUUGUCGCGUCUGCUGUGAAAUUUCGGGGCUCAACCCCGAACUUGCAGUGGGUACGGGCAGACUAGAGUGUGGUAGGGGAGACUGGAAUUCCUGGUGUAGCGGUGAAAUGCGCAGAUAUCAGGAGGAACACCGAUGGCGAAGGCAGGUCUCUGGGCCAUAACUGACGCUGAGAAGCGAAAGCAUGGGGAGCGAACAGG
rnacentral:rRNA from 1 species